GGGCUUGUGGUUUAGUGGUAUAAUACUCCCUUAGCAUGGGAGUGGUCCGGGUAAGCAUAGCAAACACCAAGAACCACUAAACAUCAGCUAAUUAUCCAUCCAGGGUUCGAUUCCCCGCGAGUCCA